rnacentral:rRNA from 1 species
UACGUAGGGUGCAAGCGUUAAUCGGAAUUACUGGGCGUAAAGCGGGCGCAGGCGGCUCGGAAAGAAAGAUGUGAAAUCCCAGGGCUUAACCUUGGAUUGGCAUUUUUAACUCCCGAGCUAGAGUAUGUCAGAGGGGGGUAGAAUUCCACGUGUAGCAGUGAAAUGCGUAGAGAUGUGGAGGAAUACCGAUGGCGAAGGCAGCCCCCUGGGAUAAUACUGACGCUCAGGCACGAAAGCGUGGGGAGCAAACAGG